UCUGUUACUUAUUAUGUUUGGAAGAAAGGACAUAGGUUUCCACAAGCAACUUAAGCUUGUAUCAGUUCUGAGAUCAGAGAAAAUGAGCAGGGCCACCUAGGAGCCAGAAUGAAAACCAGCUGCAGCACAAUACGCUCAAGGACGGGCCUUGGUAAAAGUUCUGAAUGUGUCUGUUCAUGAUGAAAACCAAAAGGAAAAAUGAAAUGUUACAUUUCGUUUUCAUUGGAUGGAGACUAAUAACACAUAGAAUAAAACAGAGGCACCAACCCA